UACGGGGGGGGGCAAGCGUUGUUCGGAAUUACUGGGCGUAAAGGGCGCGUAGGCGGUGUGUCAAGUCAGGCGUGAAAGCCCCGGGCUCAACCUGGGAACCGCGCUUGAGACUGGCACGCUCGAGUUCGGGAGAGGAUGGUGGAAUUCCCAGUGUAGAGGUGAAAUUCGUAGAUAUUGGGAAGAACACCGAUGGCGAAGGCAGCCAUCUGGACCGACACUGACGCUGAGGCGCGAAA
rnacentral:rRNA from 1 species